ACAUCAGCAGACGACAGUCAGAAUGGUAAAAGCGCAUGCGCACGAAGACAACGGAAACAAAUCACGACACUGAUUUACAUGGCUAAAAGAUGUCGCAUUAUCCAUAGUUAUCUCUUUAAAAAGCAGCAAACGAUAAUAGCAUGGAUGUGUAUAUACAAGUUCGUGAUAAUAGCUUCGUUCUGCCGCUCUGAUUGUCGCAAAUGACUUACAAAGAAGAAUACGCAAACAUGGAAACUGUCGCCGUCUGCUAAGUUUCAACUCCGCCUGUCUCUCAGUGUUUGCUGUGAAUUUUCAGGCAUUGACAGAAGAUUCGGUCCCGUGAUGAAGUGUCUUGCUCGCCGCCUGAUUGGAUCGUGUACAGUCAGUACUGCCAGACCGGUUGUCAGUAAGGGAAGCAGCAGGAUGAAGACUUCCGUGCAAGUGGUAUGAUGCAAGAGCAAAGGAACGCUGCAGUGCGCUUGAUGUGUGCUGUAUACAGCAGGUCGGAAGUCAAGUCAGCAGAUGCAGGAAGCAUACUGUUAGCGCUCUGUGUUAAGGGAGCACACCUGUCUAAGUGCUUUUCGGGUCUUUCCGGUUUUAGCGAUGGAACGUACCGAAGUCGCUUAUGCGAAGUACUGAAAAAUGCGACAAAUGCGUUUAUUUAUAACCCUUACAAACAGGUGAGCCACUAUGCACCUAUGACAAAUUAAAACGGAUAUAUCUUCUUUUUUUCAGAGGUCGCACUGUAGAAAGUGGAGCACCAACGAUCUUAACUUCUGUAGCGACAACUGCUGGGAAGCGCUGCGAACUCCUCUUAGCAGUUGGGUAGCACAUUAUUACGUAAUGAUCGGAGGUUCAGAGUUCAGCUCUUGCCUCGGGCAUGUUCUUUUUGUGCACGAAGCACAUGUUUACCAUGACCAGCUAUUUUUCCAAGAUGUAGCUUUAUUUGCCGGCUCAGCGUAAAACACCCGUUAUCUCAUCAGUUGGUAUGCUGGUUUCCGAGGAAAGUUCCAGAGCCAGCUAUAGGGGGGCUGAGCAGGGGCGACCACCCAACCUCAGCGCCUGAUAGGAAGCCAGCGCUAACAAGUACGCAUGUUGUACCGGCUUUCCAAGGCCCUGCAAUUCUAUUUGCCCAAGGCCCCGCAUUUCCCUAGCGCCGUCUCUUAAAGUGCUUUCACCUAAUUGCGAUUUUUCACUAGUUGGGGAGAAUGACAAAGGAGGAAGAAACCGGAGUACCUGACGGCCAGCCCCGAGAAUCGCUUCCAAAGAGUGCUCCCUGGUGAGAUAUUAUAGGGCGGCAGUUAUGAAGCGAAGGUAGAGCGUUGCCCAGGGUCAAUAGGGUGAACUCAAGGAAAAGCGUCGUUUCCAAACUUAUGGUGCCCAGACUCUGCAGAAGUUGUUUUACACCUGUAUGCGUAGUUAUAAACCACUGACAAAAAGGCUUUAGGGUAAAGAAACAUGAAUAGUGUCCCAAGAGUCUGGACGCUGUUUCGUAACUUCGGACACAAGACGCUUUUCAUUGAGUUUCCGAUUUAGCCCUGGGGAAAUGACUUACUCUCACUUCAUAACUACCGCCCCGAUUCUAACUGUAAAGUUGCUUUUACCGUUGUGUUGUCAGUCCUGAUCCACAACUACCACCACACACAUUAGCCACAUAGAGCAGGAAAGACAACCUAAUCUCAAAGAAAUUCACUUUGUUUUAACAGAAUGAUCUCCCUCGUAUAACCAGGUAGGGUGUGGAGCACAGUGUUGGCUGGAUGGAUAGGCAUAGAAGUCGAUCGCCAACCGUGUUAUACGACUGGUACGAGGUCACGUUUACUUGUAAUGGAGAACCGACGUUUCAGAAAUAGAUGGCUGUAGUGCCGAACUCUGAGAAAAAUUAAAUGCACUCAUGGUGUCCUAAGAUUCUUCAAUACGGGUACUCCAGACUGCUCAGACAGUGCAGAUUAACUGGUCAUUUAAUUCCUAACAUGGAUCUGAAAUUUCGAUGCUCUACAACACACUUAAAUGUGUGGACCAAUUAAAAUAUUCCUAUAAUAACAGAUGUAGUCAUUCUACCUCUGUCUAUUCAACCAUUUUUCAAAGUCAACAAAAAAUAAAGUAUAAUCCAGUAAUAUCAGAGAGCGUAGAUAUAGAGAGGCUGCACUCUUUCUGUGUCCUGACUUGUUAAGAAAAGUAGUGACGCAGUUGCGUCCCUUCGAAACGUGUUGCUACCAGAGUGCAGCCUCUCUAUAUCUACGCUCUCUGGUAAUAUCUGUGCGAUGUGAUACUCAGUCACAUUGCCUGAUCCAAACUAAUUUUUGCAGGACUUUGCAUUUUGUCAAUGGGAAACUUGUAAACUAUGUAUGGUUUAUGUAAUUAGCUCUGGUGCAUCUUCAUUUUACAAGUUACAAAAUGUUAUCGUUUAUGGGUCACAAUUGUUUUAAGACAUGCUACAUGGGGGUCUUGACACUCAGAUGUGGAGAUGUGCUUGGUACAGUCACUGUUGUUUCCAGACUGCAGAAUCUAGAACAAAGAAAAGUUAGGCAGUCUCGACUAAUCAGCAAGGAAAGAACACAAACUCAAAUCAAUAACACUCAAAUACUCAAAGAAUGAGUUAGUUGGUGGGUGUGGGCUAAUGUGUGAUGGGAAGGACAAUCAUGAUUUCGUUUACAAGUACCAUUUUCAGAGGGUACUACUCUAUAAAAGCACACAAGCAAUAUACACACACAUGCAUGUUUGUCAAUCCACUAAAGCUGGAGGGGGUUACACCUACAGGCUGAAUCAGUGCAGAGAAUGGAUGAGAACCUGGCUGUACCAGAAACUACAUUUGAAUAUGAAAAACUUCUCCAUUUCCAAACAAAAUAAUUCUCCGUGUCACUUUUCUAGUCCCCCAACAAAAUACCAGCCAUAUUCCCAGUGUACCCGGCUGGUAUGGUCAGCACCACUCCUCCUCCUUUCAACCCCUGAACCCUAACCCAAAACUGACAACCCCAAACUAUAACCAAACCCUUGUUUGAAUCAAAACUCCAGCCAGAAAACUAAAACAGACCAGAGGUGAAGUGUGUCCUUGGUUUUACUAAAUAUGUGUCCAUGCCCAUUCACAGAAUGAAUGCACGCACGCACACAAACACACAUACUGUGCAAGUUCUCAUGAUCAUUUAUUAAUUAAAAAGGAACCCCAUUGUAUAGCAAUGUGCCACUUAACAUAGGCACAAGUGACAUGAUGGCCAAAAAUGAGAAAAUUCCCUACCAUUGCACUCUAUACAGCCAAGUGAUGGCAGCCAUAGUUACUGUACAAAUCCAAGAAAAAUGUCAUUCAUCAAGGUCAGAGUAAAACAUCCAAUUAAAAAUAUCAAAAUAAUUCAUGUUGUACAACAAGUACUUAAAGCAGAAUAAGCACAAAAGAAUUAUCUUUUAUUACAGGCUGAUGGCUGCACCAACUGCUGAAGCCAGUUCUGAUCUCUUAUCCUGUUUCAAGCACAUUUUAAUGCCCCUCCCUAACAUCCACAGAGUACCAAUAUCUAAAUGCUUGAUCUACUUGUGUGCCACAACCAUAACUUGUGAGGUUUUUUGUAGCUUUAAAAAACAAAAACAUAAAUCCCACAGUAUGGAAGGGGCAGUAAGCUCUCUCCUCUCACCUUCUAGCCUUCCUUGUAAGUCAGGCGUCAUGACACCAGCCCAAGCAAGCCUCAAGCAAACUCCUCCAAAAAUCUUAUGCAUUAACUAUGGAGCCUAAGUUUAUGCUGCAUGCAACAGUUUACACCUUAAAAAAAA
rnacentral:lncRNA from 1 species